AACAGUUAGUGACUUUCGAACAAAGAAAGAAACGAGAUUGAGUGUCUGGGUUUAGGGUUUAGGCCUCUCAGCAGUCACCGCCACCGCCAGAUAAAAUUGAUUAGCUGUUUGUUUUUGCAUAGUACAUUAAUAAUAAUGUCGAAGAAGAACAAUUUAGCUCUUAGAAGAAGGCAGCACGAAUUCGACCUCCAAACUUCUGAUUGUAAUUCUUCUGGAAAAAAGGAGAAAAAGCGGAGAAAGAAAAGAAGGUGAAGAAGCUCCAAGCCAAGAAAAACAAGAUGAAAGUGGAUGGUAGCAACAAAAAGAAGGCAGGCAGUGGAUUUCAAGUUGGCAAAAAGAAGGUGAAAACAAAAUUGACACCAUUGGCAAAAGCUAAAGCCGCUCAAGCAAUGGAGGUGGAUAAAUGAGUUGUUUAGUGGAAUAUUCCAGAGUGUAUCAGUUACCAAUGAGCUGGGUACUAUGUCUCAACUCUUUAUUAUUAUUAUUUUUUUUUGGGUUUGAUUUCCCUAGUUGUAACCCAGCCUGAGGGACCUUGAUGAUUUUGUUCUGUGAUUAAGUUUCGCUAUACAAAAUUCCUUUCCUUUGUUAAGUUCAGUUACAUAGCUAUUUUCAUUGUAUGCUCAUUAUGUGUGUCUUAUGCGGAUGUGUUUCUAUGUACAUGUUUACAUGUCUCUUAGCUUUUAAUUGUACAAUCAGUUUAUGAAAGAUGCUCGCUCAAUUUUGCUGUU